rnacentral:rRNA from 1 species
GAUGAACGCUGGCGGCGUGCCUAAUACAUGCAAGUCGAGCGAACGGACGAGAAGCUUGCUUUUCUGAUGUUAGCGGCGGACGGGUGAGUAACACGUGGAUAACCUACCUAUAAGACUGGGAUAACUUCGGGAAACCGGAGCUAAUACCGGAUAAUAUUUUGAACCGCAUGGUUCAAAAGUGAAUGACGGUCUUGCUGUCACUUAUAGAUGGAUCCGCGCUGCAUUAGCUAGUUGGUAAGGUAACGGCUUACCAAGGCAACGAUGCAUAGCCGACCUGAGAGAGUGAUAGGCGACAUGAGAGGUGGGACACGGUCCAGACGCCUGCGAGAGGGAGCAGUAGGCUACCGUCGGCAGUGGGCGAAAGCCUGGCGGAACGGCCGCACGUGAGUGAUAGAGGUCUUCGGAGCGUGAAGAUCUGUUAUUGGGGAAGAACAUAUGUGGAAGUAACUGUGCAGAGCUUGACGGUAACUAAUCAGAAAGCCACGGCUAACUACGUG